UGAUGCCCUUAGAUGUUCAGGGCCGCACGCGCGCUACACUGAUGAAGUCAACGAGUUAUUAAACCUUGACCGGAAGGUCUGGGUAAUCUUUUGAAACUUCAUCGUGCUGGGGAUAGGGCAUUGCAAUUAUUGCUCUUAAACGAGGAAUCCCUAGUAAGCGUGAGUCAUCAGCUCGCGUUGAUUACGUCCCUGCCCUUUGUACACACCGCCCGUCGCUACUACCGAUUGAAUGGCUUAGUGAGACCCUCGGAUUGGUAUUCGGUGGCUGGAAACAGCUCGCUGUUCUCUGAAAAGUUGGUCAAACUUGGACAUUUAGAGGAAGUAAAAGUCGUAACAAGGUUUCCGUAGGUGAACCUGCGGAAGGAUCAUUA
rnacentral:rRNA from 1 species